rnacentral:rRNA from 1 species
AUCGAACGCUGGCGGCAGGCCUAACACAUGCAAGUCGAACGAGUGGCGGACGGGUGAGUAAUGUCUGGGAAAUUGCCUGAUGGAGGGGGAUAACUACUGGAAACGGUAGCUAAUACCGCAUACUAUCGGAUGUGCCCAUAUGGGAUUAGCUGGUUGGUGGGGUAAAGGCGCACCUAGGCGACGAUCCCUAGCUGGUCUGAGAGGAUGACGAGCGACACUGGAACUGUGACACGGUCCAGACGCCUACGGGAGGCAGCAGUGGGGAAUAUUGCGCAAUGUGCGCAAGCCUGAUGCAGCCAUGCCGCGUGUAUGAAGAAGGCCUUCGGGUUGUAAAGUUCUUUCAGCUGGGAGGCGUUACCCGCAGAAGAAGCACCGGCUAACUCCGUGCCAGCAGCCGCGGUAAUUC